GGAGGCGCCCGGCCUCGCCGGGGCAGCCGGCUCAGGCGGCCCUCGCUCGGCAGAGGGCGUCCCGCCUGCGGCUAGAGCGGAGCCGGGAGGCGUCUCCGGCGUUUCGCAGCUGGGCUGGGGAGGAGCUGCGGUUGUCGCCGCUCGCUCCUGCCACGUCCACCGGGCGCAGGCGAGCCUGGCAGCGGCUGGGGGCGCCAGCACGUGCGCGCCGGAUCAAGGAUAUCUGACACAUUCUGGAUUUAAUCCUUGAAAAGUGCAAUUCUGUAUGUGUCUACUCUGAAGCAAAGCAAACUGAAUUCAGUGGGGCACUCUCAGAUAAAUGGGAAUAGGACUGCAGCCUAGACGCCUGCUUGUUGUAAAAUGAACUAAAACUAAAGAUUUAUAUGUGCUCCAAAUUACUGAAUAAAGGUAUGUGAAUUAGCUGCUGUUCAGAUUGUCAGUUUGAUCUGAUUCAUAUUGCCACUGUGAUUUGGAUGAGCAAAGCAGUUCAAUCUGACACACUGAAUUUCGGUUCAGAUCAAUUUGAUUUAGAAAAUGAAUUUUAAAAUCCAAGGGAAUCACCUUCCCAUUGAAUUUCUAAAUUGAAUCUUUGCACAGCCCUCCCUCCUAUCAGGGUCCACCAAGGGAGCUACGCGUAGCAUUAAGGCCUGUUGAAAGCUGUUAGACCUAUAAGCCAUGACUAUGAUAAUGGUUCAUAGCUCAUGGCCAAGCCAUGGUUUAGCUUAUUGGCACUAUCUCUGGCUCACAUUCUGUCUGACCUUUCACAUUCUCUGUUCUUUUUCUUUUCUUUUUUUACCAUAAUUACUAAUUACUGUAACCAUAGUCUGUUACAACAUCCAGAGGAAAUCCUGACAGGGAUUAUCUGCUUUUAGUUACUACAAGCACAGUAAUUACGAUUUGCUCAAAUUGGGAAGACGUGGAGAAUUUCUGCUCCAGGAAGUAAGAUUAAAACAAUGCAAAACCAGAACAUACAAUGCAUCCUUAACCCACCCCAUCAAUCAACAGCAACAACAUCCGUGAGGAAGAAAAUCAUCCCUCCAUCCUGUUCCCAAAAGCUUUCCAAAAGACAUGAAUGUCUGUUUGCUUGUGGUGCGAGCUAGUUUUUGGGACAAAGCAAGCCUUUAGGAACAGAACCAUAGAAAGAGAACCUCCAGCCAAAGGUGUUUAUACAGGAAUCCACCCAAAGCCAAAAGGGACGAGGUUGACCGGAAGAGGCAUAUCCUGGUUGUGCCCUUGACACCUCUUCGGUUUGGUUUCCUUGACAAGAGACCCAGGGAGGAAGGAGAAUGAGACAGCUUAAAGGGAAGCCCAAAAAAGAGACGUCCAAAGACAAAAAAGAGAGAAAGCAAGCAAUGCACGAAGCCCGUCAGCAAGUCACAACUGUGGUGCUUCCCACCCUGGCUGUGGUGGUGCUUCUGAUUGUGGUAUUCGUUUAUGUGGCAACCCGCCCCAAUACAACUGAAUGACAUGGAUUUUGAACUCUACCCCUUGGGUGGGCUUGCCUGCUCUUUUGCCAAGGGCCCAAAACAAAACAAAAUCUCCCCCCUCCCCAAGAUAUCCUUUUCUAAUCAUCCUGUUAUUAAUAAUCCUUUCACAAAGGAGUCCUCUUUCUCUGACUUGAUUCACAGUCUACAGUUGCUCUUGUGGAAUGUCAGAUAGGAAAUACGUGCUCCAGGGGCGCAAAGUAUGUUUUACUGUCCAGCAUAUGUGCCUUUUAGACCUCAACAGUCUCUUGCUCAGUCAUGAAAGUGGAUUCUGUUGCUCUUGGAGAGUUGUAUGAAUCAGCUUUGAGCCCUCCAGUUUUUCAGCAGCAUACCUUGUGUCAAGUUCUUGUACGUUGGCUUCACAGCUGCCAAAGAAGUGGAUUUUCCCCUUCCUUUGUGACUAUAUAAUGGCAUUUGAAAAUCUUUGAUUAAAAAAAGUAUUUAUUUUUGGAAUAAAGAAAACACAUCUUACAUAAAAA